CCUACGGGAGGCAGCAGUGAGGAAUAUUGGUCAAUGGACGGGAGCCUGAACCAGCCAAGUAGCGUGAAGGAAGAAGGUACUUAGUAUUGUAAACUUCUUUUAUCUGGGAACAAAAUCGGCGACGCGUCUCCGUUUGAGUGUACCCGAAGAAUAAGCAUCGGCUAACUCCGUGCCAGCAGCCGCGGUAAUACGGAGGAUGCGAGCGUUAUCCGGAUUUAUUGGGUUUAAAGGGUGCGCAGGCGGGAGUUCAAGUCAGUGGUAAAAUGUAGGGGCUCAACCUAGACUGGCCGUUGAAACUGGUUUUCUAGAGUUGGAGAGAAGUAGGCGGAAUUCGUGGUGUAGCGGUGAAAUGCAUAGAUAUCACGAAGAACUCCGAUUGCGAAGGCAGCAUACCGGCUCCAUACUGACGCUGAGGCACGAAAGUGUGGGGAUCGAACAGGAUUAGAUACCCUGGUAGUC
rnacentral:rRNA from 1 species